GACGAACGCUGGCGGCGUGCCUAAUACAUGCAAGUCGAACGCUGGAGGAGGAGCUUGCCCUUCUGGAUGAGUUGCGAACGGGUGAGUAACGCGUAGGUAACCUGCCUCGUAGCGGGGGAGAACUAUUGGAAACGAUAGCUAAUACCGCAUAACAGUAGAUGUUGCAUGACAUUUACUUAAAAGGUGCAAUUUCAUCACUACCAGAUGGAGCUGCGUUGAAUUAUCUAGUUGGUGGGGUAACGGCUAACCAAGGCGACGAUCAUUAGCCGACUGGAGAGGGGGAUCGGCAACACUGGAAUUGGGACACGGCCCAGACUCCUACGGGAGGAAGCGGAGGGGAAUUUUGGGAAUGGAGGGAAGUCUGGACGGGGCAAGGCGGGUGGGGUGAGGAGGGUUUUCGAUCGUAAAGACCUGUUGUAAAGGGAGGAAGAGUGUGGGAGUGAAAUGUUCACACUGUGACGGUAUCUUACCAGAAAGGGACGGCUAACUACGUG
rnacentral:rRNA from 1 species